UGGGAACGGGUACUCAAUUCCCUCAUUUUUUCAGCUGAAAAUUUUACUGGCUCGCCAAGCUAAUUAGUGACAUAUCAUUUUCUUAUUUUUUAAAAUUUUUAACAUUACCAGCCUACCUCCCAAAGUCCCAAACGUAUCCCCAGUAUUGUAUCCAAAUGUACUCCCUCAUUGAUACAUCGGAGCUCCCUCGUCGAUUCACCCAGAAUCGCAUCUCUGAUCUUUUUGUUUUUCAUCUUUGCCGAGUUUAAUGGUCGAGUUUCAUCAAAUACCUCUUCAUUAGACCACCAUAAUCAUCAAACCCUAGAGUUUCCAAAGCCCAAAACCCCAAGGACAGUUCUGUCGGUCUUUCCGGCACUUCGCCGGCACUUCUACAAGGACAGUUGCUGCUUCAGCACUUCUCCCGCACUCCUUCCCCAAAUCACCAAAUUAAUUUAUUGUUAAGAGGUGGUAACCUUAGAUAUGUUGCUUCAUCUGGUGCAGUUUGCAGGUUGAAGCUGAAGAACAACCCGAGAUAUCUGUGUUGUACUCUAUUUUUUUGUUCCUUACUUUGUCUUCUUCAAGGUAACUCACAUGGGAAUUUGCUUUCCUUGUCCAUGUACUGUUUGUAUAUCUGCUUGUGUUUGUAAAUCUGAGAGAUGGAGUUAACAUGCAUAGACAAAGUUGAUGUUGACUCACAAACAUGCACUUGUGAUGUUAACCUUUUGCUAAUGAAUUCCUGAUUUUCAAUUCACAACUGGAUGUAUUUAGUUUAUAAUUCUUAGUUAUAAAAGGAUGAGUCUCUUUAUUCAAGUUAACCACCCUUCAUCUAUAGUAACUAAUUUUCUUGCUUUCCUUAUAGCAGAUACACUUAUGCUACUUGUUAAUUUGAUUCGAAGAUAACGGAGAAUUAUAGUCUUGGUCAAUGGUUGUCCAUUAGCUUCUAAUGUUAUCAACUGCCUUGUUGAAAGGUUGAGUAUUUGGUAGCACUAAUUUCUUAGGUGAUAUAUGUAAAAAUCCUAUUUUUGCAUUUGAAGUUGGGCAGGAUCAUUUGUUACAUAAAUAUAAUAGCUUUGAUGACAUAUUGAUAUUGAUAAAGUGAUUUACAACAGUUUCUUAUUGUCUUAUUAUAUUGAAGAUCUGAAUUUAAUGCACUUGUACCUUGCCUUUGCUUUUCAGUUAUGUUCUUUCUCACCUUUUCAACUUUAUUUUGCUAUCAAAGAACUUUUCUUCAAUGUUCUACAUGAAAUAUAUGAGAACCACAUAAAAAUUGAUUGUAUUGUUAACUUAAAUAUUUUUUGCUUUCACUCCUCAAUUAACCUCUCAUACUGGCACUGAUUGUAAUAUUUUGCUAAACUGUGAAUUCUGGAUCUAUUAGCUUUUUCAAAAGAUAGUGCAAAGGAUAAACCAUGAAUUUGUAACUUCUGUUAGUUGUUCUAUUUCCCAAGUGCAGGCAUUUCUUUGGAUUUAUUAAACUAAGACUCUAUGAUAAAUUUACAAACUUUUGCUUUCACUAUUUGGUUGAGGAGUUAAGUGAUCUGUUUGCAUUCAAGUCUUGAAGUCAAAUCAAACUUUUGCUUUUUCCAUUUUCUGCUUCUAAAGAAACUGAAGUGAUGAAAGUUUUUACUUCUAUGGUUCCAUUCAAAUAUAUCAAUUGAAUAAUUCAUUGCAAUUGAAAAAUUCUUGUUCAAGUUUCUUAGUUUUCUAAGUGCAGCUGAAUCUAAUAGAAAAGUUAUUUUGAAGAUGUGAUAAAAGCUACCACUGCUUCUGUGUCCAAUGACAAUUUUCUUUGAUCUUAUUUGAUCCAAGAUCCUAAAUAUUUACACUGCUGAUCAAAAAUGGAUAUAAGUUAAUUACCCAUAAUAAGACAUGAUAUACUAUGUUUGCUGCUUUUGCAAACGUAUAUUGUGUUUGCUUUUCAGAAUCUGAAAAAUAUUUGAAUAGUUAUGAAUCAAGAAGGGUUCUCAAGCAAAAAUAAGAAAAUAUCCAACCGCAUUACAACUGGAUCACUUGCAUCUUUGCGAAAUCAAAGGGUUUCGUCGUUGACAACAAAAAGAACCUUCCAACCUACAAGGUCAAAUGCAAAUGAAGAACGACAAUCAGAAGGUGGAUUAUUACCUUCAUCUUUGCGAACCAAAAGGUUUCGUCGUUGACAACAAAAACAGCCUUGAAAGCUCUAAGGUCAAAUACAAAUGAAGAACAACAAUCCAAAGGUAGAUCUCAAUUGCAAGAACAAGUGCAGCAAGUGCCACAGAAUUGCACCUCUUCAGCAACACAAGGAGUACAUGAACAAGUACAACAAGGGAAUAUGGAUUCCAUCACUCCUGCAUCACAGGGAGUACAUGAACGAUCUGAUGAUUCUACCUCUCAUGAAGCAGUUGAACAAUUUGAGGAAUAAGGCAAAUAUAUAUAAAUAUUCCAAUAUAUACUUGGAGAAAGUAUAAGAGUCAAUUGAAGACAACUCACUUCACAGCCUAUGAGAAUGAUGAGCUUCGAAUAGAGAAUAGGCUAGUAGAUAUUCCGAAAUCUCACUUUAAGGAUCUUCUUAAAUAUUGGAGCUCCGAUCCUCACAAGAAAAUGUCCGAAACCAAUACAGAGAAUCAAAAUAAGUUGAAGUGUCUGCAUACUGCUGUCAGAACACCUUUUGCUCUAAUUCGCGUGGAAAAAAAGAAGAAAAUCUCUGAUACUUCAGAUACUCUAUCAAGUAAGGACAUCUUUGUGGCUACAAGAAAAAGAAAACUUGACCGAGUAUACAAAAGCUCAUAUGACAAUACGAUUAGUAAAAUUGCUAAAAUGGAGUGAAUACAAUCAACUCAGGAAAGUGAAGAUGGUAGUCAUUCAGUUGACGCUUUUGCUUCAGCCAUGGGACCUCAGGUCGCGUGAGAUUGUAUGGACGAGGGGUUACCAAGACUUUGUUAAAAGGGCAAAAGGGAAAUCUUGAAUCUUCUUUAGAUGCUGAUGAGAGGAUGCAGCAGAAAAUAGAGAAAAUGGAAGAGAGGAUGCAACAAAGAAUGUAUGAAAAGUUUAAUGAACAAAAGGAUGCUAUAGAACAAAAUAUUACAAUGAACGUCAUUGCACGACUUCAGCGUCUGAACCCAGAUUUACGACUUGAUCCUGACAUGUUAAGGUUCGGUGCACGUUCACCUGUAGAUGCUUCCUCUGCACAACAAGUUGUUAUUCAACUAAACAAUCGACCAUCUACUGGUAGUAAUAAUCAAGGUGGAGUAGAUCAAGAAAUAGAUGAUGAAGACGAUGAAGAACUAGACCUUACUUGAAAUGAAUUCUGAAUUGUUAUAGAUGAAUGUUCUAGGAAUCUUUUGUUACCAACAUUUUUGAACUUAUUUACUCUCUUGAAAUGUACUAAACUUGUGCACUUGUGGGGUAGAACAUUUGCUUUAUGGAUAUUAUUUGUUUGAUGGAUAAUUUUGUAUUAAUAAUAGUUUUAUUUUAUGAUGUA